CAGGAACUUACUACGAGUCACAUAACAAAUGAGAACUUGUCCUUCCCUCUGUGGAACCUGCUCUUGAUGAGAAUUCUACCCAUAACCUCAGCAGGCAGAUAUUUCAUGCAGUAGAUGAAUAUUGCCUGCUCCCCUUCUCAAAUCAAAGUCCAUCAAGGUUGCAUGAAAUGGUUAAGUCUUGGCAUUAACACAACAAAAGUAACAACGGAGAGAGCUUGAGGCAUUAACACAACAAAAGUAACAACAGAGAGAGCUUGAGGCUCAGCAUGGUUUGUAUUUCAAGUUAAAGGGGAGAUCUCUCACACUGUAGCAAGAGGAUUCCAGGAGUUGAAAAACUCUGGGAUGAGGUAAAAUGUAAUUGUUCGGUUUUCAGAAGAUGCAAGAAUCUUUACAUAAACAAAUAAUCUUGACAUGAUGGAGAUAUCAGAAUGCUUUCUAACUGUGACAUUCUUCAAGAAACUCCUCAGUUAUCCAGCUAUGCUUAAGAGUAGAUUUCUAUUACCUGGAUAAAUGCACAACCUUGUCCUUCCACAUCUACUGUGUAUUGUCCACGUGCUUUUGUUAGUUCGGACCGCUGGACCAGUAAGCGAUU